rnacentral:sRNA from 1 species
GUUGGGCGUGGUGGCAUGUACCUGUAAGCCCAGCUACUUGGGAGGCUGAAGCAGGAAGAUCAUUUGACUAGGAAUUCAGGGCGAGCCUGAGCAACACAGUGAGAACCUGUCUCUU